AAAUGUUGGGUUAAGUCCCGCAACGAGCGCAACCCUUAUCCUUUGUUGCCAGCGAUUAGGUCGGGAACUCAAAGGAGACUGCCAGUGAUAAACUGGAGGAAGGUGGGGAUGACGUCAAGUCAUCAUGGCCCUUACGACCAGGGCUACACACGUGCUACAAUGGCGCAUACAAAGAGAAGCGACCUCGCGAGAGCAAGCGGACCUCAUAAAGUGCGUCGUAGUCCGGAUUGGAGUCUGCAACUCGACUCCAUGAAGUCGGAAUCGCUAGUAAUCGUGGAUCAGAAUGCCACGGUGAAUACGUUCCCGGGCCUUGUACACACCGCCCGUCACACCAUGGGAGUGGGUUGCAAAAGAAGUAGGUAGCUUAACCUUCGGGAGGGCGCUUACCACUUUGUGAUUCAUGACUGGGGUGAAGUCGUAACAAGGUAACCGUAGGGGAACCUGCGGUUGGA
rnacentral:rRNA from 1 species